UGAGCUCAGAUAGAAUAGGCAUUGAAUUUCAGCUUCACAGAAAAGAAUAAGAGAGGCCAGUUCACACAGUUCCGUGUUAGAUCGAAGCACAAAAUGACAUCCAAUAGCUAUAAAGCUAUUGUUUUGGACUAAUGUUACUAUGAACAAAACAACAUAUUUUAAAAAGAAAAUAGUAUUCUAGAUGCCAUUACAUAGAAUAGGCUUGUGAGAGAGGCAUCUGCCAAUUUGACGGUCUGAGAUACCUGAGUGUAUAUAGGAUUUCAAAGAAGCUGGGUUGAUAUGAUCAUGUGUUUUCAAAGUUACAAACUAGAGGGGAUACCGUUCCUCUCUUUGCAAGGUCUGCCUAAUCCUAUUGACAGUUAACAGCUCAAACUUUGACUAGACAUGGUAACUGACCUACUUCAUCACUUCUAUUACUGUGGCAAGCAAUCAUGCCAUAUCCAUUUUGCAAAACAAGAGGUGGCAACUGUCAUAAAUGUAGCUCAGAUGACCUCAAAA
rnacentral:misc_RNA from 1 species